rnacentral:rRNA from 1 species
GAUGAACGCUGGCGGCGUGCCUAAUACAUGCAAGUCGAGCGAACAGACGAGGAGCUUGCUCCUCUGACGUUAGCGGCGGACGGGUGAGUAACACGUGGAUAACCUACCUAUAAGACUGGGAUAACUUCGGGAAACCGGAGCUAAUACCGGAUAAUAUAUUGAACCGCAUGGUUCAAUAGUGAAAGACGGUUUUGCUGUCACUUAUAGAUGGAUCCGCGCCGCAUUAGCUAGUUGGCAAGGUAACGGCUUACCAAGGCAACGAUGCGUAGCCGACCUGAGAGGGUGAUCGGCCACACUGGAACUGAGACACGGUCCAGACUCCUACGGGAGGCAGCAGUAGGGAAUCUUCCGCAAUGGGCGAAAGCUUGACGGAGCAACGCCGCGUGAGUGAUGAAGGUCUUCGGAUCGUAAAACUCUGUUAUUAGGGAAGAACAAAUGUGUAAGUAACUAUGCACGUCUUGACGGUACCUAAUCAGAAAGCCACGGCUAACUACGUG